AGGGUGUAAACGCUGCAGACUUGGUGUUGGGAACCCUUCGGGGGUGCUCAGUGCCGGAGAGAAGUUGUUAAGUCUGCUACUUGGGGAGUACGUCCGCAAGGAUGAAACUUAAAGGAGUUGGCGGGGGAGCACCGCAACGGGAGGAGCGUGCGGUUUAAUUGGACUCAACGCCGGACAACUCACCGGGAACGACAGCAAUAUGUAGGCCAGGCUGAAGACCUUGCCUGAAUCGCUGAGAGGAGGUGCAUGGCGUCAGUGACU
rnacentral:rRNA from 1 species